GACGUAGGGCGCGAGCGUUGUCCGGAUUUAUUGGGCGUAAAGAGCUCGUAGGCGGCUUGUCGCGUCGACUGUGAAAUCCCGAGGCUCAACUUCGGGCUUGCAGUCGAUACGGGCAGGCUAGAGUUCGGUAGGGGAGACUGGAAUUCCUGGUGUAGCGGUGAAAUGCGCAGAUAUCAGGAAGAACACCAGUGGCGAAAGCGGCGACCUGGCCUGACAUUGACGCUCAUGCUCGAGAGCGUGGGGAGCAAACAGG
rnacentral:rRNA from 1 species